GCCUGGCUGGCUCAGUCGGUGGAGUGUGAGACUCUUGAUCUCGGGGUUGUAGGUUCGAGCCCUGUGCUGGGCG
rfam:Felis catus isolate Cinnamon breed Abyssinian chromosome C1, whole genome shotgun sequence.